UCACCACUCACUUCUGCAAGGCUC
rnacentral:siRNA from 1 species